AGGGUUCGAUUCUGGCUCAGGAUGAACGCUAGCGACAGGCUUAACACAUGCAAGUCGAGGGGCAGCGGGGGUAGCAAUACCUGCCGGCGACCGGCGCACGGGUGAGUAACGCGUAUGCAACUUGCCUAUCAGAGGGGAAUAGCCCGGCGAAAGUCGGAUUAAUGCUCCAUAAAACAGGGGUCCCGCAUGGGAAUAUUUGUUAAAGAUUCAUCGCUGAUAGAUAGGCAUGCGUUCCAUUAGGCAGUUGGCGGGGUAACGGCCCACCAAACCGACGAUGGAUAGGGGUUCUGAGAGGAAGGUCCCCCACAUUGGAACUGAGACACGGUCCAA
rnacentral:rRNA from 1 species